CAUGCAACCUAAUGAGCUCGCUCUGACAUGUGAGGACAAGGAGGAGAACAAGCUUGUCCAAUACGACACAGCUAUCAUGCACUUUAGGGCAUUUCCAUCUUCCGAGGAGACAGCAGGGAGAAAUGCUGCAAUGCUAGCUCAGGGGGCUGCUGCCUUUCCAGCAGGAUCUCUGCUCUGUGCUGUCCCUGCGUUCGAGCAGCCUGCGCACCCGGUGCUCUGUCAGUACUGAGUGGCCCUUUGAGGCUUGAGAUUUGUCUCCAGGCAGACCUGGAUAAUAUCCACACCUAAUUCACAGUAGGUAUUCAGCCUUGGAAGGGUUACUUAAAAUAUGAGCCAGGCUUUCCCCAUUUCUGAAUUGAGGGUAUUAGCAUUCAUCCCACAGGGUGAUUUUCAGGAUGUGAUCAAACAACGAGCAGAAACCAGCUACUGCAGUGCUCAGUGCAGUGGAUCUCCAAUCAGGGAUUGCUGUUAUCGCUGGUGCUCUCGUUGCACUAACAUUCUUCAGUGUUUCUAGCAUCUUGACCAUUGAUGGUCCCUCACCAGCCUCUUGUGGUCAGACCUGUCCCAGCCCUCUGGCUCCUCCCUCCCUCCCGCCUCUCUCUCACCAGUACCUACAGGGGCCUUGGGGAAGCAGAGGCUCAGAUCUUAAUCUGCCCUCUGCCACCAGCCAGCCAGUCUCCUCCCAGCAGGUGCAGUCAUGGGGUCACCCUGGGCUUCUUUCCACCAGGUGGGAAGCAGAAGCAUGCUGGGUCCCCUUGCCAUCCUGUGUGCCCUCCUGUUUCCUGGCAGUGGAUCAGGGCUCAAGCUGGAGCAGCCAGAUGUGGUCGUGGAGCGCUUGGGCAGCACGGCCAGCCUGCCAUGCAAAGUCGACACCUCGGUCAACUACAUCCACUGGUACCGCCACCAGGAGGGUAGUGCCCCACAGAGGCUCCUCUACCUCGACAUGUCUGGGUCGUAUGUAAGGAGGGAUUCAGUCCUGAAAGCGGACAAAGUCAACGUCAAGAAGGGCAAGCAAAGCAACAGCUGUAACCUGUUGGUGCUGAAGCUGGAGAAGGACGACGAGGGCGUGUACUACUGCGCUGCCUGGGAAAUGCACAGCCCCGCGCUGGGACCAUCUCCCUGAGCAAAAAGCUCUCUGUCUCCCAGGAUACUCUAUGCCUGGCACCGUCCACUAGCUCUGGGUCCCUGGGGUUGCCCUGGGGUCAGCCCUCAGUACCCCGGACUCUCGCUAACGGCUCAGGAGCCCCAGUGCCCAGGCUGGCGCAGACCCAGGGACCUGUCCUGUCUAGGGGGGGACUUCUCUGAAGAUGGUUCAGCGCAUCAUUUCUGGAGCAGAAUCUGGCUGCUCGAUGCAGGAGCCACGAGCCACUAGCCACACGUGGCUCCUGAGCACGUGAAAUGUAGUUAGUCCACUAGUCCAAGCUGAGAUGGGCUGCUUGUGAUA
rnacentral:lncRNA from 1 species